AGUGAACGCUGGCGGUAGGCCUAACACAUGCAAGUCGAACGGCAGCACAGUAAGAGCUUGCUCUUACGGGUGGCGAGUGGCGGACGGGUGAGGAGUACAUCGGAAUCUACUUUUUCGUGGGGGAUAACGUAGGGAAACUUACGCUAAUACCGCAUACGACCUACGGGUGAAAGCAGGGGAUCUUCGGACCUUGCGCGAUUGAAUGAGCCGAUGUCGGCUUAGCUAGUUGGCGGGGUAAAGGCCCACCAAGGCGACGAUCCGUAGCUGGUCUGAGAGGAUGAUCAGCCACACUGGAAGUGAGACACGGUCCAGACUCCUACGGGAGGCAGCAGUGGGGAAUAUGGGACAAUGGGCGCAAGCCUGAUCCAGCCAUACCGCGUGGGUGAAGAAGGCCUUCGGGUUGUAAAGCCCUUUUGUUGGGAAAGAAAAGCAGCAGGUUAAUACCACGCUGUUCUGACGGUACCCAAAGAAUAAGCACCGGCUAACUUCGUG
rnacentral:rRNA from 1 species